rnacentral:rRNA from 1 species
UGAGGGAGGCUAGCGUUGUUCGGAAUUACUGGGCGUAAAGCGCGCGUAGGCGGCUUUGUAAGUUAGAGGUGAAAGCCCGGGGCUCAACCCCCGGAAUUGCCUUUAAGACUGCAUCGCUAGAAUCCGGGAGAGGUGAGUGGAAUUCCGAGUGUAGAGGUGAAAUUCGUAGAUAUUCGGAAGAACACCAGUGGCGAAGGCGGCUCACUGGACCGGUAUUGACGCUGAGGUGCGAAAGCGUGGGGAGCAAACAGG